rnacentral:misc_RNA from 1 species
CGCCAUUUUACAUUACCAUUAUAUAUAUAAAAUAGCUUUAAAAUAGCCAUACAAAUUAAAGAGGAGGCGAAAUAGAAGGAGCUGAUAUUUCUUCUUGCAAAAUAAAUAAAUAAAAAAGGCUGGCAGCUCAAAACACAAUCUUUUGUUCAAAGAUUCAGGCUUAAAUAGUAACAUACUAUGUACAUAAACAAGCAACACACAUUCAAGCAACUUAGAGAACAUGAAGGUAGUAAGAAAAUCAAACUCAAUUCUCAUCUGUUUGAGAAGCACUUCCAGUAGCAUUUGCCAAUGAGGUUGAGCUCGAAUUGCUUCCACUGGAUUGUGAUCCAGAGGAAGAGGAGAACAAACUAUUGAAAGGCCAUGGAAAUGAAAACCUUCUCCCAUUCCCAUUCCCAUUCCCAUACCCGUGGGUUGGUUCACACCCAUCCCCAUUCCCAUUCCCAUGGGUUGGUUCAUGCCCAUUCCCAUGGGUUGAUUCAUGCCCAUCCCCAUUCCCGUGGGUUGAUUCAGGCCUCCAUAACCUCCCAUGCCUCGACCUCCACCCAUGCCCAUGCCCAUUCCCAUAUUCAUGCCUGCACCCAUUCCCAUGCCAGGACUCAUCAUGCUAUUUGGAGGAGCCCUAAGAGCACUUGCACCUGCUCGGCCUAUUCCAGAACCAGAUCCCAUAGCUUUACCCAUUGUGACGGUAGAUGUUACCGCAGCUGUUGUUGGUUUUUCCAUUCUCUUUUCCUUGCGAUUAAUGGCAUCAAAAUCAAUUCCAAUGUCAGCCAAUGGAUUGAUUUUAGGUCCAGAGAUAUUCAAGUUGACUAGCCCUCUGUUCAGUGUAUCUGCCCAAACUGCUGACUUCGUCUCAAAUUUGUCCUUGGAUGAUUGUGGAACUAUUGCAAGCGAUCCUGUUGAAGAUGGAGGAGCUGUCUGAGAAGCCAUGGGAGUGUUUGACCCUUGUGAAAAUAAGUCACUAUUAUGUUGAGCAGCAGGUACGGCUGGAGCUUGAUAGCCAACUUGUGAAACAACUGGGGCAGCAGACCCUUGUUGAGGCAUAAGGUUUCCAUUGUUAAAUUGUGGUGUUGCUCCUGUUGCAGUUUGGUGUGCAACUUGUAAGCCAACUACGGCAGUAGAACCCUGCUGUGGGAGAAAGUUACCAUCGUUAAACUGUGGAGUUGCUCCUGUUGCAUAGUGAGCAGCUUGUGAGACAGCUGGGGAAGCAGAGCCCUGUUGUGGGAGAAAGUUUGCGUUGUUGAACUGUAAAGGUGGCCCACUUGAAGUAUGGUGAGCAACUUGGGCAGCAAAACCUUGUGGGAGAAAGUUUCCAUUGUUAUACUGUGGAGUUGGUCCACUUGCAAGAUGGUGAGAACUGGGUGAGCCAACUGAGGCCACAGAAAUUUGCUGUGGAAGUAAAUUUCCAUUGUUAAAUUGUGUCCCUGGUCCAGCCGGAGUUUGUGGAGCCAUGUUUGAAGGGAAAGGAGCAGUAGAUCCUCCAUGCGUGAGGAAGUUACCACUGUUGAAUUGUGCAGGGUGAGGACUCAUGUUUAGAGCUACGUUUGGAGCUAUGGGUGCCACAGAUCCUGCCUGUGAAUUGCAGCUUCCAUAAAUACUAGCAGUUGGCUCUCCAAGUUCACCAGCCAAAGCUGAGAAACCUGUCUGUGUAGUUACAGUAGGUGAAGGACCAGACGGUGGGAGGAUGUCUGCCAGAAUAUCAGUUUCCUGGUGUGAAGUUGGUUCCUGAGGCAUAAACUGUGAGUUCGUUGAGGCUGGUUGAACAUUGACUGCUGAGUGAGUCAUGCCAGAGAAUGCAUCUCCAAAGUCGAACUUAUUCACUGUGUCUCGUGGCACUGUUGGGGGCAUUUCAGCAUUCUGAUUCACAGUAGGCUGAAAAGUGGCUGCAGAGGCAGAAGUCUGCUGUUGAGCUGAGAUAGUGUCAUUAUCACUAGAAGCUGGGAUAGCCUUGAACGGAUUGUCACCAAAUGGAUCUUCAAAAGGCUGAUUCAUAACAUUAGAUGCUGGCUGUGUUGCAGCAAAUGCGGGUACUGAAAAGUUUGCUUGGGCAUCAGCUUCAGAGGAUGUAGUUGCAGAGGCCACUGGCAUAAUGGCCAAUGGAUUUGCAGCAAACGAAUCUGACAGAGAGCCAAGUAAAUCCAUUUCAGCAUUGUUCGAGGUAGUGGCAACAGCAGGAGCAGCUGAGGGAAUGAGGCCAUCUGAACCAGGUCCACGUGGAUCAAAUUCAUCAGCCACCUCAACUUCCUGGCCUGCAGGAGUUACAGCUGUACUAGAAACAUUAGUUGCUUGACUUGGAUUAUUGCUUGCAGAUGGAGAAGCAGCUUUGGGUGCAGGUGGAGAGGAAGCUCUAGGUGCUGCUGGAGAAGAAACUCCAGGAGCAGAUGCAGCAGAAAUUUCUCCAUUCCUUUCACCGUGAGCAGGGCUUCGUGAUUCACUUACAUCUUCUUCGUAACAAGGAGGAGCAAUAUUUUGUUCAGAAAAUUUUCGCUCAUGCCGCCUUCCAUCCUGGGAUUGAUCAUCAACUCUGGCACUAUCACUGCAGAAACACAGGGCAAAAAACAAUUUAUUUUUUUCAAGUAAUGGUAUGAUAGUACACCUUCAAUAUUUGUUAAAAUUACAAGAGAGAACAGAAGCUCACAGGCCAGAAUAUUAAUUAUUUUAGACAUCCUAUUAACACAUCAGUAUACCUCCUCAAAGUGACUUCUCUCUCAUGUAUUGAAUUAAGGCAGGGCCAUUCCAGAAUCCAGUCAGAGACUUCUUCAUUUUUCAUAAUAACUUUUUCAAAAAUAUUUUCUUUAGUGACUAAGCUUUUAUCAUUUCUGGGACCUUUGUUUCAAUACAUAAAUUUGCUGCAAACACGUUCAAAUGAAUACUACAUUAACUUGAGCAACAAAUCAACAUGACAUGUUUCUCUCCUAACUACAGCAGGUCCAACAUUCAUGAUCUUCUAAUUAUUUCCUUUCUCAUCAACUUCUUGAAACUUUCAUGUGCAACUCAAAAAAGGCUUUAUAACAUAUCUAUAUAUCACUAACCCUUCACAGCAUUAAAAAAUAUAAACACAAUAUAGAAUCAAUAAACAGAUACACCAAGUUUCCAUUUAUCCCCUUAAUAUAGCACCUUUUUGAAUGCAUGCAUUCAUGAUUUCAUGUCAAUGUAAAUUUUCUCCAUUUUGACCAUCUAAAUAGAAACAUGCAUUAUUGUCCAAUUCAAUAUUUGACAGUUUUUUCCCUUUCCUCAAAAUAAUGAUAAAUAGUUCUUUACAGAAAUAGCCACAGUACCGAGAUGAGGGUUGACCAUCAUCAUGAAAACCACGGUCUCUAUCAGAACUCCUGCUUCUUGAGCCAUAAUCAUCAAUGCUUCGACUUCUUCCCCUGUAGUCAUCAUCCCUGUAUCCAUCUCUGCUGUAGCGUUCUUCAUAAUCUCUGCCAUACCGAUCUCCAUCACGACUAUACGAGUCCCCAUAUCUACCAUAUCUAUCAUCAUCCCUGUAGUUGUAUUCUCUUUCUCUCCCAUAGCCAUAUCCAUUUCGAUCUUCAUCCCUACUUCCAUAGCGGCCUUCAUAACGGUCAUCAUCAUAUUUGUCACCAUAUCCUCCAGUACUUGAAUAGGAACUGGGUCUAUACAUUCCACCAACUGAUGUGUUGCGGAACUUGUCCCGAUUAGCAGCAGCCUUUUGUCUAACUUCAAUUAUCCUUUCUUUAUCAUUAACCAGGACCACAAGACUUUGAGAUUUCUUUCUGACAUUGCUACCCUGGUCACUUCCACUAGAAUCAAUAUAUUGGAAAUCUGCCAAUGUCGAUAUUUGAUAUGCAUGUUCCCUUAUCUCAUCUAUUACACGCUCUGAUCCAUGACCAACAAGGUAUUCCAAUACAGUCAAAGCCUUGUAGACAUGCCGCCAGUUCUUGCCAGUAUCAUUUAUCCGUUUCCAGAUUACCGCCAUGAUCAUCUGGUAUUCAUGAUAGUUUCUAGUGGCCUGUGCAAUAUCUGCAAGGAGAGUUCCAUGAGGACCCCAGGGCUCAUUGCUAGUUGCAUCAAGUAUCUUCUGCUCUAUUCCAGGAACUUUAAGCACCUUCUUAUUGACCUCUCUUUUAAUGUCCCUUACAGUUUGAUCAAAGACCUUCUUCAUUGUAAGAAGCAGUGAUAUAUACUAGCAGUGUGAAUCACAGAGUGCAAUUCAAAGUUCCCUCUUGUGCACCAGAUCCGAUUGAUCAAAAUUGAAGCCAAAAAAAGCAAAGCCCAGAUCUGACAGUACUAUGGGUAAUUCUGUGGCAGUGCUCAGUCUGAGAGAGAAGGAAAGAACAAAACUAGAAAAUUUAGAGCGAGGGAGGACAGAAGGGAAGAACUGUAGAGGGAGUAAAAGCUCCUAAAAUGGCUAUAAUAAUAAAGAAGAAGAAUAAAAAUUAAUAUUAAUCUCUCUGCAUACAGAUCAAUCAAAAUAAAGAAUAAGAAGAAUACCAGAAGAAGAAGAAGAAGAAGA